CAGUAGCCGCGGUAAUACGAAGGGGGCUAGCGUUGUCCGGAUUUACUGGGCGUAAAGCGCACGUAGGCGGACUUUUAAGUCAGGGGUGAAAUCCCGGGGCUCAACCCCGGAACUGCCUUUGAUACUGGGAGUCUUGAGUUCGAGAGAGGUGAGUGGAAUUGCGAGUGUAGAGGUGAAAUUCGUAGAUAUUCGCAGGAACACCAGUGGCGAAGGCGGCUCACUGGCUCGAUACUGACGCUGAGGUGCGAAAGCGUGGGGAGCAAACAGGAUUAGAUACCCCUGUAGUCCCUGUCUCUUAUAC
rnacentral:rRNA from 1 species